GUGAAGACAUUAAUUCUCUUGAAGAGUUGACUGGGAGAUUCAAGAGAUUAAAGGAGAAUGUCGGAUUUAUAGCUAAUCGUGUAACAGCCGUCCAGGCUGGUCUUGAUAGCUGGCAAGCGGAGCAGAUCAACAGAAAGCUAUACUACCUCUCUUUCCUAUCUAUUAUAUUCCUUCCUUUAUCAGUAAUCACAGGAGGUUAACAUAUUCUCACAAUUCUAAAUAUAUAUCCACGCUUUGUUGUCUUUCAAGUCAUGUUCAUCGUUUCUUAUUAUGUUGACAGUGUUUGGAAUGAAUGUGGGAGGAGUUCCAUGGACAGGACAAAAAGAUCCAAAACUAAAGAAUGGGUUUCUAAAUGUUAUGCUUCUGUGUGUGGCAACGCUGGUUCUCGUACUUCUUUGCUUCCUCUUUUCAGCACUCUACACGCGUAUGGAUGCUUGGCGUCGAAGAAAAGAUUUGACAAGAAGCUUGUCUAUUAACAGAAGAUUUAGCAAGAAAAGUGAAAGAGCUGGUUAUCUUCGGAUUUGAAAAAAAAAAUUAAAAAAAUAGACAGAUUACUUGACAUAUUUCAUAUAUACUUGUAAGGCUCAGAUGUCUUAGUUUUGUCCUACAUUACAGAAGUGCCAGACUCAAAGUAUUUUGUCAGUUGCAUGAUUUUAAUCAUAUAUUCAUCAAUAUAUUGUGCAACUGUCUGAGUGUUCUUAUGAAUGAGCAAUCAAAUUUGAAGUGUUAUCUGUCAGCUGGUGUUCAUUUACUCAUAAGUUGCAUUUUCUGGUGAGAGGAAAUGUUUCUAGUUGGGUUUUUUUUUUUUACCGUGUGCAGGGACACUGGAAACACAAAUUUGAUGAGUUUGAUAGGAGGGCUAUCCAUAUUUACUAUUAGAGGAUCAAUAUCAAAUUCAGAAGUUAGCGCGGGUAUAUCAUAGAAAAACCGAUGUUAGUUUUAUAAAUGUUCUAGUCUAAAUUCAAACUGGGUUAAUUUUUUUAUAUAUACAGUAAUUGCCAAUUUGAAAUAUUGACAAUUGUUACUUUUCUAGUAAUUUAUUUAUGGAAAUAUCUUAAUAUCUCUUCGUAUAGAUUUGUUAGGUGGUGCUGGUUAUAUUGCUCCAAGAUAAAUUUUAUUUAGCCAAGAUUAUUUUUAAUUUAUUGGAUUUUAUAUAGAUUCUAUUUUUAUAACAAGUCACACUUUUAUUUACAAAAUCUACAGAAAAAUGAUUUCUUUAAUAGAUAUUAAUUAUAAUAAAAAAAAUCUAGAACCUUCAUUAUUUUACCAUUGCAUUUUUUUGAAGGGACCAUUGCAUUUUUUUUAAUUAGAUUCAUAAUUUUUUUGGACUAUAUAUAUUAUUAAUUUAUAUUUAAAAAUAGCCUAUUAAAACUACUCACAUUUAAUAUAAAUAGGCAAUUUUAAAACAUGAAAUAUUACUCAUCAUAAAUCAAAUUUUAUUCAUUUGUGUGCUUAAAUUAAUUUUCUCCAAAUAAAAAGUAAAAAAUAAGAAAAAACAAAUCCCAAAACCUAGAUAAUUCUAGAAGGUUCAUGCACUAUAUCAAUCACACACGCCGCACCGCCUUCAUUUAUAUCCUCAUCUCAUAAACCCUAAACCCUAACAUAUACACACAAUACACGUAUCUAUACAUACAGACUCUUCAAGAUUCUUAGCUCUCUCCACGAUGGCUUCCACUCUGUUGCUCAGAUCUAUUCGUCGACGCGAACUUUCAUCUGCCUUUCAAUCUGUAAGAUGAAAAUCCCUUUUUACUUGCAUAUUUUUGUGUGGUUAGUAUUAGAGAUUUUGUUUUUGGGUCUUGAUGGUGUAUUUUUGUUGUUAGAGGUGUUUGAUUUGAUGAUUUGUUGGUGGGUUUGUGUUUGUUUGGUUGAAAAGGGUGUUUGAUUUGGUGGGUUCGGGCUGUUUGGUUGUGAAUCUUGAUUUUUUGAUUUGUUUGUUUUUUGUUGAAUUAUGUUUAAAUAUUUGCGUGUGAUAGUAUUUUGAUUAAUUGGUUCUUGUUUAGCUGAGAAAGUUGUGAUCUUGAUGAUUAUUUUCUUGUGUUCUUGUUUAUGUUUGUGUGUGUUGGGGUGUGGAAAUAAGGACAUGAGGAUUAGAUUUGAGGCUAUGAUUCGAUUGUCGGUCGGUCCAGAAUUGAGUUUUGAGAAUUAUGUUUUGUGGGUUUUUGUUCAAAUGGGUUAGUGAUUUUGUUAUGUUUUAAUUUUUAUGUUGUAUGUGUUGGGCAGCAGGUUUUAAGUGUAUAUAUGUGAUGCUGGUAGUUUGAUUGUAUAGGCGAGUAUCUUUUAGUUUGUGCUAAUUGGAAAUGAUCUUGGCCUUGUGGUAGUUGAAAAUGUGUGUGUGAUGAACAAUUUUUGGUUGCAGUUGGCUGGAAAUGCUAAGACUUCGUGGUCUGCGUCGCACAUGAGCAAUAAAUGGGCCAGUCUUGCCAGACCAUUCAGGUAUUUGUGUUGUCCAGAAUGAAGAAUCUUAUGUUAUUUGAUUGUGUUGUCCCUCCUACCGUGGUUGAUUUGUCUUGUACAUUUGUAGCACCAAGCCUGCUGGUAAUGAUGUUAUUGGAAUUGACUUGGGUACAACAAACUCGUGUGUUGCUGUUAUGGAGGGCAAGGUAAUGUUCGAGGGUUGAGAAAAAGGGAUUACUUUACUUUCUUUCGGAAGGUGUAAAUAUGCUUACCUAUUUAACUUCUUUUCAGGCUGCAAAAGUCAUUGAGAAUGCCGAGGGUUCUCGCACAACUCCAUCAGUAGNUAGACCAACAAAUUUACUUUGGGUAAAAACUUGCAGAACAAAGCCGUAAGAGGCUCUUCUGUUUGUGUGACAAGUAUCAUUAUUAUCAAUCUCAAAGAGAUUCAAGUUAAUAGAACUUUGAAAUCUGAUAUUUUCCAGAGGAAAAUGUUUUGUUUGCAUUUACCCUAACUCAUUUGCAGUAAAAUAAUCAUUUGCAGUAAAGUAAAAUUUCUGUCCCGGCUGAAUUACCUAAAUGAUAGCAUAUAUCAUAUUUUAUUACAGGUGCUUGCGCAUGGAGAACAAGUAUUUCCACGAGUUAAAGAAAAGUGUUCUCUGAAAGUUUGGUUUGCUAGUGAAGACAUUAAUUCUCUUGAAGAGUUGACUGGGAGAUUCAAGAGAUUAAAGGAGAAUGUCGGAUUUAUAGCUAAUCGUGUAACAGCCGUCCAGGCUGGUCUUGAUAGCUGGCAAGCGGAGCAGAUCAACAGAAAGCUAUACUACCUCUCUUUCCUAUCUAUUAUAUUCCUUCCUUUAUCAGUAAUCACAGGAGGUUAACAUAUUCUCACAAUUCUAAAUAUAUAUCCACGCUUUGUUGUCUUUCAAGUCAUGUUCAUCGUUUCUUAUUAUGUUGACAGUGUUUG
rnacentral:lncRNA from 1 species